GACGAACGCUGGCGGCGUGCUUAACACAUGCAAGUCGAACGCUGAAGGCCCGGCUUUUGUUGGGUUGGAUGAGUGGCGAACGGGUGAGUAACACGUGAGUAACCUGCCCUCUUCUUUGGGAUAACGCCCGGAAACGGGUGCUAAUACUGGAUAUUCACUGAUCUUCGCAUGGGGGUUGGUGGAAAGGUUUGUUCUGGUGGGGGAUGGGCUCGCGGCCUAUCAGCUUGUUGGUGGGGUGAUGGCCUACCAAGGCUUUGACGGGUAGCCGGCCUGAGAGGGUGACCGGUGACAUUGGGACUGAGCUACGGCCCAGACUCCUACGGGAGGCAGCAGUGGGGAAUAUUGCACAAGGGGCGAAAGCCUGAUGCAGCGACGCCGCGUGAGGGAUGGAGGCCUUCGGGUUGUAAACCUCUUUCGCUCAUGGUCAAGCCGCAACUGUGGGUUGUGGUGAGGGUAGUGGGUAAAGAAGCGCCGGCUAACUACGUG
rnacentral:rRNA from 1 species